AUUUGUGCCAUACCUGCUUGUCAACACCGAUAUCGUCAGAUCUCAGAAGCUAAGCAAGGCCGGGCCUGGUUAGUGCUUGGAUGGGAAACAGCAGGGAAUACCAGGUGCCACAAUAG
rnacentral:rRNA from 1 species